rnacentral:rRNA from 1 species
GACGAACGCUGGCGGCGUGCUUAACACAUGCAAGUCGAACGAUGAAGCAGAGAAACGCGCACUUCGGUUCAAAUUUCACUUCGGAUUAGUGGCAGACGGGUGAGUAACGCGUGAGCAACCUACCUCUUACAAAGGGAUAGCCUCGGGAAACCGUGAUUAAUACCAUAUGACACAUUCAUAAGGCAUCUUAAGAAUGUUAAAGCUACGGCGGUAAGAGAUGGGCUCGCGUCCCAUUAGCUAGUUGGUGAGGUAACGGCCCACCAAGGCGACGAUGGGUAACCGGCCUGAGAGGGUGAACGGUCACAUUGGAACUGAGACACGGUCCAAACUCCUACGGGAGGCAGCAGUGGGGAAUAUUGCACAAUGGAGGGAACUCUGAUGCAGCGACGCCGCGUGAGCGAUGAAGGAAUUCGUUUCGUAAAGCUCUGUCCUAUGGGAAGAAAAGGACUGUACCAUAGGAGAAAGCCCCGGCUAAAUACGUG